GACCAGACUCCUACGGGAGGCAGCAGUGGGGGAUAUUGCACAAUGGGGGAAACCCUGAUGCAGCGACGCCGCGUGGGCGAAGAAGUAUUUCGGUAUGUAAAGCCCUAUCAGCAGGGAAGAAGAAAUGACGGUACCUGAGUAAGAAGCACCAGCUAAAUACGUGCCAGCAGCCGCGGUAAUACGUAUGGUGCAAGCGUUAUCCGGAUUUACUGGGUGUAAAGGGAGCGCAGGCGGCACGGCAAGCCUGAUGUGAAAGCCCGCGGCCCAACCGCGGGACUGCAUUGGGAACUACCGGGCUGGAGUGCCGGAGAGGUAGGCGGAAUUCCUAGUGUAGCGGUGAAAUGCGUAGAUAUUAGGAGGAACACCGGUGGCGAAGGCGGCCUGCCGGACUGCAACUGACGUUGAGGCCCGAAAGCGUGGGGAGCAAACAGGAUUAGAUACCCUUGUA
rnacentral:rRNA from 1 species